rnacentral:rRNA from 1 species
GAUGAACGCUGACAGAAUGCUUAACACAUGCAAGUCUACUUGAUCCUUCAGGUGAUGGUGGCGGACGGGUGAGUAACGCGUAAAGAACUUGCCUUGCAGUCUGGGACAACGUCUGGAAACGGACGCUAAUACCGGAUAUUAUGAUUGAAUCGCAUGAUUUAAUUAUGAAAGCUAUAUGCGCUGCGAGAGAGCUUUGCGUCCCAUUAGUUAGUUGGUGAGGUAAUGGCUCACCAAGACGAUGAUGGGUAGCCGGCCUGAGAGGGUGAACGGCCACAAGGGGACUGAGACACGGCCCUUACUCCUACGGGAGGCAGCAGUGGGGAAUAUUGGACAAUGGACCAAAAGUCUGAUCCAGCAAUUCUGUGUGCACGAUGAAGUUUUUCGGAAUGUAAAGUGCUUUCAGCUGGGAAGAAGAAAGUGACGGUACCAACAGAAGAAGCGACGGCUAAAUACGUGCCAGCAGCCGCGGUAA